CCCAACUAUCCCUAUUAAUCAUUACGUCAAUCCUAGAAACCAACAAAAUAGAAUUAAACGUCCUAUUUCAUUAUUCCAUGCUAAUGUAUUCAAGCGCGAGCCUGCUUUAAACACUCUAAUUUUUUCAAAGUAACAGUCCUGAUUCCCCAUGACACCAAAUUAAUGACAUCAUGGUUCUUCAGAAGGGAGAAACCAAUAAUGCCAGUACGUACCAAGGCACGACCAACAAUUUGAUCUCGAAAUUCAACUACGAGCUUUUUAACUGCAACAACUUUAAUAUACGCUAUUGGAGCUGGAAUUACCGCGGCUGCUGGCACCAGACUUGAAAGAACA
rnacentral:misc_RNA from 1 species